rnacentral:misc_RNA from 1 species
AGCAGCCGCGGUAAUUCCAGCUCCAAUAGCGUAUAUUAAAGUUGCUGCAGUUAAAAAGCUCGUAGUUGAAUUUCGGGACCAUCAUGUCGGUCGUGCCUCGGUACGUACUGGCAUUGUUGGUUUCUCCCUUCUGACGAACCAUGAUGUCAUUUAUUUGGUGUCGUGGGAAAUCAGGACUGUUACUUUGAAAAAAUUAGAGUGUUUAAAGCAGGCUCACGCUUGAAUACAUUAGCAUGGAAUAAUGAAAUAGGACGUUUGAUUCUAUUUUGUUGGUUUCUAGGAUCGACGUAAUAAUUAAUAGGGAUAGUUGGGGGCAUUAGUAUUCAAUUGUCCGAGGUGAAAUUCUUGGAUUUAUUGAAGACUAACUACUGCGAAAGCAUUUGCCAAGGAUGUUUUCAUUAAUCAAGAACGAAAGUUAGGGGAUCGAAGACGAUCAGAUACCGUCGUAGUCUUAACCAUAAACUAUGCCGACUAGGGAUCGGAUGAUGUUAAUUUUUUAAUGACUCAUUCGGCGCCUUAC